CAAAGAUUUGGUCCUAAUCUUAAUGUUACUUUUUACUAAACCUACACAUGUAAGUAUCAGCAAACCAGUGAAAAUGCCCUAAAAGUCACAUCAGACAAAAGGAGUUGGUAUCAGGCACGCCAUGACAGCCCAAGACACCUUGCUUCGCCACACCCCCAAGGGUACUACAGCAGUGAUUAACCUUAAGCAAUAAGCAAAAGCUUGACUUAGUUAUAGUAAAACACUUUAGGGCUGGUAAAUCUCGUGCCAGCCACCGCGGUUAUACAAGAAGCCCAGAGCAACAAUAAUACGGCGUAAAAUGUGGCUAAACCAAAUCCACCAAAAAUCUAAGGCUCACCUACACCAAACUGUCAUACGUAAAGUAUUAAUUAGACCAAUACGAAAGUAGCCCUAGUAUACAAGACAAUUUGAACCCACGAUCGCUAAGACACAAACUGGGAUUAGAUACCCCACUAUGCUUAGCCCUAAACUUAGAUAUUUAAAACACAAAAAUAUCCGCCAGAAAACUACGAGCAAAACGCUUAAAACUCCAAGGACUUGGCGGUACCUCAAACCCCCCUAGAGGAGCCUGUUCUGUAAUUAUAUUGUCCACGCUAAACCUCACCAUCCUUUGCCAACCCAGCCUAUAUACCACCGUCACAGCCUACCUUAUGAAAGCUAAAAAGUAAGCCAAAUAGCUCCAACAGCUAAAAAGUCAGGUCAAGGUGUAGCUAAUUAAGAUGGAAGAAAUGGGCUACAUUUUCUACUAUAGAAAUAACUACGGAACAGAACCAUGAAACAUGAUCUAGAUAAAGCAGGAUUUAGUAGUAAACUGAGAACAGAGAGCUCAAUUUAAAACGGACCUGAGGUGCGCACACACCGCCCGUCACCCCCAUCAACAAUAAUACUAACCGUAAAUAACAUCCCAUAAACAAAAACAGAUGGGGUAAGUCGUAACAAGGUAAGUGUACCGGAAGGUGUACUUGGACCA
rnacentral:ncRNA from 1 species